CCCGCACACAGCCACAUGCGGCGUGCGUUGGCGGCCGACGUGCAGCCAAGAACGUCGUCGGCGCGGAUGCAGGCCGCAGCGCCCGAUGCCACGGUCGCAAACUCUCCAUCAUCAAGUACGCGUGGUGUCUGUCUGACCAGGACGAGCACUUGCUGCCACCGGCUCGCAGCGCCCAGCGCCGCGCACAGAUGUCGAAACACCGCUGCACAAUUGCCGCCGGGCGGCGCGACGAGCGUCAUUGUCCACGCCGCGCGCGCAACAAAGGAUUCAGGCGCAAGGCCCCCAUCCAAAAGAUCGAGAGCCUCGGGCGCGCGCAAAAGGCGGGCACCGGGGUCGCCGCGGCAGAUGAUCACAUCGCGCCACCAACGGCAGACCAUGCGCGCCAGGCAGGGCACGCGCCCAUGCCCCACAAACAAAAACACCUCGUAAAGGAUCUCGGGCGGCAGGGCGGCGUUGAUCGCGGCCACGCAAAUGUCGUCCAUUGUACUGUUCCCCUGGAUGGUCGACGCGCUCCCCUUGGCGUCACCAGCCUUUGGGAGGCGCCUGCGCAAAGAAAAGGACGCCUCCCUUUUGAUGUCGGCCAAAGGCACCCCUUUUGUGGCCGUGCGCUUUCGCUCGUCUGCCCCUCCUCCCUCUUUUUUUCCUCCUCCUUUUGCCUGUGAAACUCGCAAGAAAAAAAAAGGCUGUAACAGGCGCGCCUAUUGGGCGCAUACUUUAUUUUGGCCAAUCAAAAUAAAGUGGCAAUAACGCCUGGGC
rnacentral:lncRNA from 1 species